rnacentral:rRNA from 1 species
UACGUAGGUGGCAAGCGUUGUCCGGAAUUAUUGGGCGUAAAGCGCGCGCAGGCGGUCCUUUAAGUCUGAUGUGAAAGCCCACGGCUCAACCGUGGAGGGUCAUUGGAAACUGGGGGACUUGAGUGCAGGAGAGAAGAGUGGAAUUCCACGUGUAGCGGUGAAAUGCGUAGAGAUGUGGAGGAACACCAGUGGCGAAGGCGACUCUUUGGCCUGUAACUGACGCUGAGGCGCGAAAGCGUGGAGAGCGAACAGG